GACAGAGGAUGCAAGCGUUAUCCGGAAUGAUUGGCGUAAAGCGUCUGUAGGUGGCUUUUUAAGUCCGCCGUCAAAUCCCAGGGCUCAACCCUGGACAGGCGGUGGAAACUACCAAGCUGGAGUACGGUAGGGGCAGGAGGGAAUUUCCGGUGGAGCGGUGAAAUGCGUAGAGAUCGGAAAGAACACCAACGGCGGAAAGCACUCUGCUGGCCGACACUGACACUGAGAGACGAAAGCUAGGGGAGCGAAUGGG
rnacentral:rRNA from 1 species